CUAGCUAUAUCCUAUAAAUAGGAUGUGCUUCUAUUGUGUAAGAGCCAGUUCAUGAUAUGUUGAACGCUUGAAGUGGAGGUGCCUGCAAUUUGAUCUUUGCUGGUAUAUAUCGAGGGAAAGAUUAUUUCUGCAAGUCUGAGCAGUACCCAAGGCACAUUAUGGCACUCUCUUUCAUGGAAACCAUGGCACGGCAUAUUGUGAUUAAAUUCUUUGAACAAUAUAUAUCAACAGGCUGCGUAAUUUUAUUAGAGGAAGAAGGCACAGUUCUCACUUUCACAGGAAGCUUGGAAAAGUGUUCUCUCAAAGUCGUUCUGAAAGUGCACAAUCCCCAGUUUUACUGGAAGAUUAUGACAGAAGCUGAUUUAGGCCUUGCAGAUGCAUAUAUCCAAGGAGAUUUUUCGUUCGAAGAUAAAGAAGAAGGUCUUCUGA